AUUUUAAAAUUAAAAACCACAAGUAAAUUUGAGUUUUAACCAAUUGAAGAGAGACAUAGUUGACAUGAUACCCCCAUUUGCUGUGUUCCUAACAUUACUUUUGUAAUUCACAUGUUAUAUAUUACACCAAUGUAUUACUUCUAUAGCGUAGCCUCACUAUAUAAACCACAUGUUAAAUUAAGCACCAAUGUAUGAUAUAUAUAGCAGAAAUAGUGGUUAAAUUUUUUGUUAAUAUACAAGUACUGGAAGGUUUCUUUACCAUUUGAGGUAUUUUCAAAUAUCCAAUUUUGAGAUGAACUUUAGAAACAAUUUACCUUGAUUCACUGGUACUUUGUGAAUAUUUUAAAAAAGUUAUGAUAUAGUAUUUCUUUGAUUAAUAACAUUUAAAUUUAUAUCACAAGUUAUAUCAGUUUCUUAUUUUUUUGUGUACAACCAUUUUCUUUCAAACUUUACAGUAACUGUACUAAGAAUGUUUAUGACAUUUUACUAGCUGUUUUAGUGUAUAUUUUCAAGUCUCGUGGGCAAAAGUAGCUGCUUAUAAAUCAGGGAUGUUUUUAUUUUUUUUGUGUUUUUGAAUUUUUUUUCAUAACCUUUUAUAGUUUUUUUCUAUAAAUGAUAAAACCAGA
rnacentral:lncRNA from 1 species